GGGGUGCAGCAGGCGCGAGAAUAUUGCAAUACGCGCGAGCGUGACAAGGUCAUCCCGAGUGUCCCUCCGCUGAGGGUGGCUUUUCCACAGUCUAAAAAGCUGUGGGAAUAAGGGGAGGGUAAGUCGGGUGUCAGCCGCCGCGGUAAUACCCGCUCCCCGAGUGUUGGGGACUUUUACUGAGCUUAAAGCGCCCGUAGCCGGUCAUGUGUGUCUCCAGUUAAAUCCAGCAGCUUAACUGCUGGGCCGGGGGGGAUACUACAUGACUUGGAGGCGGGAGAGGCCACCGGUAGUCCCGGGGUAGGAGUGAAAUCCAUUGAUCCCGGGAGGACCUCCAGUGGCGAAGGCGGGUGGCCAGAACGCGCUCGACGGUGAGGGGCGAAAGCUGGGGGAGCAAACGGGAUUAGAUACCCGGGUAGUCCCAGCCGUAAACGAUGCGGGUU
rnacentral:rRNA from 1 species